GCAUUACUGAGGAGUCCCACAAUAGGACGAAAUGACCAUCCAGUGC
rnacentral:hammerhead_ribozyme from 1 species